AGCAAAGAUAAAAACGCAAUGCAUUGAAUAAAUGCUAGAGCUGGUAGGUAGCCCAGCCGUCCUAUAAUCAUAGGGUAAGUAACCUGCCCCUCCGGGUUGUCCAUUCUUUGUAUAUAAA
rnacentral:ncRNA from 1 species